rnacentral:rRNA from 1 species
AAUCCUGAAGAGAUUUGGGAGUGCUCGAAAGAGAACCUGCACACAGGUGCUGCAUGGCCGUCGUCAGCUCGUGUCGUGAGAUGUUGGGUUAAGUCCCGCAACGAGCGCAACCCUUGUCAUUAGUUGCUACGAAAGGGCACUCUAAUGAGACUGCCGGUGACAAACCGGAGGAAGGUGGGGAUGACGUCAGGUCCUCAUGGCCCUUAUGGGUAGGGCUACACACGUCAUACAAUGGCCGGUACAGAGGGCUGCCAACCCGCGAGGGGGAGCCAAUCCCAGAAAACCGGUCGUAGUCCGGAUCGCAGUCUGCAACUCGACUGCGUGAAGUCGGAAUCGCUAGUAAUCGCGGAUCAGCAUGUCGCGGUGAAUACGUUCCCGGGUCUUGUACACACCGCCCGUCACACCAUGGGAGCGGGUUCUGCCAGAAGUAGUUAGCCUAACCGCAAGGAGGGCGAUUACCACGGCAGGGUUCGUGACUGG